GCCAGGUGUGGUGAUGCAUGCCUGUAAUCCCAGCAUCUUGAAAGGCUGGGACAGGAGGAUUGCAAGUUCAAAACAAGCCUUAGCAAAAGCGAGGUGCUAAGCAACUCAGUGAGACCCUGUCUCUA
rnacentral:sRNA from 1 species